rnacentral:rRNA from 1 species
GACGAACGCUGGCGGCGUGCCUAAUACAUGCAAGUCGAACGCAGUGGGGACGGGUGAGUAACACGUGGGUAACCUUCCAUCAGAGGGGAUAACCCUUGGAAACAGGUGCUAAAACGAUACUGAUGGAUGGACCCUCGGUGCAUUAGCUAGUUGGUGAGGUAACGGCUCACCAAGGCCACGAUGGAUACCCGACCUGAGAGGAGGAUCGGCAAGACUGGGACUGAGACACGGCCCAGAAUCCGACGGGAGGCAGCAGUAGGGAAUCGUCGGCAAUGGACGAAAGUCUGACCGAGCAACGCCGCGUGAGUGAAGAAGGUUUUCGGAUCGUAAAACUCUGUUGUUAGAGAAGCGGUAUCUAACCAGAAAGCAACGGCUAACUACGGGCCAGCAGCCGCGGUAAUAC